UACGUAGGUGGCAAGCGUUGUCCGGAUUUAUUGGGUUUAAAGGGUGCGUAGGCGGCCUUAUAAGUCAGUGCUGAAAUAUCCCGGCUUAACCGGGAGGGUGGCAUUGAUACUGUAGGGCUUGAGUAAAGUUGAGGUUGGCGGAAUUGACGGUGUAGCGGUGAAAUGCUUAGAUAUCGUCAAGAACACCUAUUGCGAAGGCAGCUUACUACACAAAUAUUGACGCUGAGGCACGAAAGCGUGGGGAUCAAACAGG
rnacentral:rRNA from 1 species